AGGGUCCUUAGGAAAGGCCAUAAGGUUAACUAUUCAAGGCCAUGGAUCAACCUUAGUUGUUUUAUCCUUGGUGUUAUCCCAUCAAUUUCCUAUAAGGUGUUAGGAAGAAUCUGGAAGGUGACAUCUACAUUUUGCCACUGUUAGCAGUUACCUGCCCACUACUUGUAACUUCUCUUAACUCUCCACUUCACAGGUAACUUCUUCAAACUGCUCUCUUAGCUAAUUGUCCAUCUGCUAACUCCUUGUUAUUUAUUUUUACCCAUAUUUAUCUACUAAUUUAUCUUAGCCUUUAAUUAAUUAAAUCAAUUGACUAAAAUUAAUUAAAUUAAUUUUGGGCAUAAGACAAAAAAAUUAUAGUUUUUGUGUAAACAAUAUUUUUCGAGCAUU
rnacentral:misc_RNA from 1 species